AGAAGAGAUGAAUAUUCUAGAACAAGUGAUAGUGAGAAUAUCUUUCUGUCUAAAGGUAAUUUCCAGGUGCUUAAUUUGGGCCUUCACUUCCUCAGUGGAAUAGAAACAUAACAUGGUUGUCCAGCUUUUGGGAUUUUUUUACCCAACAGAUUUUUGCCAUGUGAUCCUGCAAAUACACCAGUUAGGAGAAUAUUAGUAUCUUCUCUGAGUCUUCAGGAAGGGAGUCUGGGAACAAGGCUGCAGGAGAGAGAGCUUCCUCUGGCAAUGUGAGCUGUGGGAACACUUCCCCAGAAGCAGAGGAUACUGAUAUCCACCUGCUGUACCUCUCCAAAAGGGCCGCUCUGCGUGGGAGGAAGCGCCUGAAGCCCAAGUCUGGGCCGGCCCCGUCAGGUGGUGAUGGCUGCGGCUCUGUGAGGCCGGGGCACCUUCCUCAGAGCCCCGAGCUCCCUGUGGACACCAAGAGGCUGAAAGAAGCCAACAAGGAGAACCUCGAGGCCGACCUGAAGGUGCCCGAGCACAGCCGCUCCCAGCAGCGCUUGGACACACCCCCGAGCAAGGACCCGCCCUUGACCAACAGGAACGAUGCUUCCAGGACAAGUGAAGCUUCUCUUGGGUUGCUUCCAGGGCAUGAGGCUUCCCCAGCUCUUCCAGAGAAAGUCAUUGCCACUCCAAGAAUUUAGAGGCUUUCAUCUAAGGUCACAGUCCUGGACAUCCAUGUCCGCAGUCCUGGUUGAAACUUAUAUAUUGUCAGGACUGUUGUAACAAUCCGUAAUAAGUUUUUAAACUGAAAUUGAUAUUUGCGUGUAUUGGCAGCACCGUUGUAGCCCUUUGCAAUAAAAUUUUUAAACUGAACUAGGUGUUGAUUUGU
rnacentral:lncRNA from 1 species